CAUCUAACAACCAUGUGUGGAUCCGGUUCUUUGCAGAUCUAAACUAUACUAUUCCAUCCUCUGUUCUCUCUGAUUUAAUUCAGGUGCGUCAUGAACUUCAACGACAUCACGCACCAUUUCCUGCUUUCUAUUUAUGCUGCCCUUGAUCCGAAGAAAAGGAAAAAAAAAGUACGCAUCAGUAUGGACUGGAUUUCACUUGCUACCGUUUUAUUUAUUCCUAGAGCAAUUUAAAUCAUUGGUAUUCUGAAUUACAGGCUAGGCGCAGUCCAUGCAACUGCUAUGGACAUUCAGAUGGCCUCUCCUGAAUCUAUUGAAUUAUGUAUUGGGAGCGAUGGGGCAGGUCUAUUCGACCACGUGCUAUGUGUGUUUCUUCAGCCAAGAUUAAGGUGCCCUGCUUACUGCGCUUCAUAGUCUCCUAAAAGUCUUUUUUAUCGAUAAAAUUAUAGUUUAAUAUUUUAUAGUCCAAUGACUGCGGAGCUUUGGAUAAUGGAGCUACGUUUGCAUUGAUUCAGCAGAAAACCGAGCUUUGCAUUCGACUAUCCCACUAAAGUGUUGGCAUAUAAACUCCAUGGAAGUAUUAUUGAAUAAUAUUUAUAAAGCAAUACACAUUUGCUAUGCUUAACCUGAUUGACAAAUUGUCAGCAGGUGAAGUCAUGUGGUACUUCAAGAAACAAUUGUUUUUCCUCUCUUUUGUCCAAAAUUCUAUAUGAUCCUCCUGGAUAUUGAAAAAAUGUUGGUCUAGGUAUUUCUUGUAUGCUUCAGACUUGGAGACGCAAAAUACAUACUUUUUUGUGUGUAAACUUUGUUGUUCUCUACAUUAUCGUUUCUAGCUUCUUGGUACAUUCAAUUUCAUAUUGUACUUAUUAUCUUGAAAAGGGAAUAACUCAUCAAGCACUGAAAAUAAUUGACUCACGUUAUCUUCACUAUUUCCCCCUUUGAUUCUAGAUGCUACAUUUAUCUGCAGUGUGUUCUAACAUAUUGAUAUCGUUUUCUGUUUCCACUCAUCUGUAAAGGAAAUAAUGUUUGUGUUAUUGCUUGUUACGCGUGAGGUACACGUCCGUUGGGAACCCCAAGAGGAAGGUGUGAUGCGUACAUCAGCAAGUUUUCUCUUACUAAGAAACCAAUGUUAUCGAACCAGUAGGAGCCAAGAAGCACGUGAAGGUUGAUGGUGGCGGAGUGUAGUGCGGCGCAACACCAGGGAUUCCGGCGCCAACGUGGAACCUGCACAACACAAUCAAAGUACUUUGCCCCAACGUAACAGUGAGGUUGUCAAUCUCACCGGCUUGCUGUAACAAAUUAUUAGAUGUAUAGUGUGGAAGAUGAUGUUUGCAAAGAACAGUAAGAACGAGUAUUGCAGUAGAUUGUAUUCGAUGUAAAAGAAUGGACCGGGGUCCACAGUUCA